UGUGCUGGAGGGCGGCCUAAGGGACGUUCUCAGGUCUAGGUGGCAUUCGUGGUCAGAAGGGGGAACUGGGUCCACAUCUGGGAUCCUGUUUCCAGGUACGGUUGGUUGGGAAAGCAGUCUGACAUGGUGGGGGAGACUGAGCCAAGCGGAACCAACGGGAAGGAAGGAAGGAAGGUGUGUUUUGUGUCCUGCACCUAGAACACAGCCUCGCUGAAGACACCGUGCUUUCUCCUGUUUCUUGAGUGCUUCUGUCCAGCUGUUUCUGUUUAAACCUUUAGACUGAAAUUCCUCAACUAUGAGCCAAAAAGAAGCCUUUCCAGUUGGGCAUCGUGGCACCCCUGAACCCACUGCAUUGCACACACCUAUAAUGCCAGCAGCGGAGAGGCCGAGGCAGGAGGAUUGUCAUUACUACAUAGUGAGACCUUGUCUCAAAAAACCAAACCAAACCAAACCAAAACAACACCAACAACAAAAGCAAACAAACAAAACUGAGAGGAAACAUUUCCUCAAAGUUGCAGGUGUCAAGUAUUUUAUCCCAGCAGCCAGGACAGUGACUAGGACGGCCUUGAGAUGGGAAGGUUAUCCUGGACUUUGCAGCUAGGCCAGUGUGGGGCUAUGCCAAUGAUGUCAGCAUGCUGGGAGGCUGAGGCGAAGGAUCGUAAGUUCGAGCCUAGCAUGACUCCUCAAGACCUUGUCCUAAAAAUAAUAAAAUAAAACAAAAUAAAAAAGGGCUGGGGAUGCAGCUCAACAUGAGGCCCCGGUUUGAUCCCCAGUACUGAGAAACAAAGCUUUUACCCUGUGGUGGUGGUCAGAGCCCAACAGGAAGGCAGAGGACACAGCGGCAGCCAUGGGAGGAACAAUCAGAGAGGUGCAUGGCCCGGCCCAGACCUCCAGACGAGCCCCAUGUGGGGUCCUCACUCCCCAAACCGGAAGUCCUGGCGCAGUGGGAGUCAGCACCGAGGAGGGCUCAGGUGUGGAUGGGCCCUGGGGAACAGGGAAGAGUCCCCAAACAGGAACCACAGCUCCUGCUGCCUGGAGUCAGAGGCCCCGGGGAUUCUGCUGUUUCUCAGGCCACUGUCUCUCCGGGAUGUAUGGCACCACGCCCUUUCACCUCACACCAGUACGGAGGGUAACAUCAGCAUCUAUCUGUCCUUCUCCUGCCCAGGGCAGCAAGGUGACCCCAGUUCCUCAGAGACUCAGAAUCAUGGCUCAUGCAAAGCCUUGGUGGGAGGUGUUUGCAAUGUUGGGGCCCCAAACCAGCCCCUAUAGGAGCAGCUGCUGUACCCCACUAUAAUUCAUUCAGUCACCCACCUGCUUAGCACCCAGCAAGCGCCAGCUACAGGGCCCUGGCUUUCAAGAAGCACAGACUCGCUGGAUGUGGUGGUUCACAUGCCCAGCGCUCAGGAGGCUGAGGCAGGAGGAUUGCUAAGAGUUUGAGGCCAGUCUGGACUACAUAGGGAGACU